UUUUUUUGGAGAAGUGAUGACCAACCCAAGAUCAUAGAAGCUCAGAGUUAGGAGGAGACCAUCUUCUUCUACUCUUAUCAAACCUGCAAAUUAAAACAAUGUCAACACUCGUUUAUCUACCAUGGACAGAUGCGGUGCCAUCAUGAUCCACCCGUACUAAAGAUGUUUGGGUCCAAGUCUAACAUGGUAUACGAAUGUAAGCUGCAUGAGGCUUUGUCCUGGAAAGGUUUAUAGUCACCCUUCCACUGCCCAUGGUCAUGAGCACUCAGAUUUGAGAAGAUGAAAUGAUUGCUCCUGUUUACAUGUCAUGUAUGUCCUGGGAGGAGUAGAGCUCCCAUUCUGGCCUCAUCUUGAUAGUCUGUGUGUUCCCACUAGGGAGAAGAUGAAUCAGUUAUCCUCAAAUCCUGCACACGGCGGAAAACAGACUCCAUUGAGAAGAGGUUUUGCUUUGAUGUGGAAGCAGUAGACAGGCCAGGGGUUAUCACCAUGCAAGCUUUGUCGGAAGAGGACCGGAGGCUCUGGAUGGAAGCCAUGGAUGGCCGGGAACCUGUAAGUAACAAUUCAGGGAAGUAGAGCAAGAAUGAAGGCCCUGAGUUGUUUGUUGCUUCCCUAGUGCAGUGAUUUUUGCUGCUGUUCUAAAGCCUUGGGUUCUUGAAACCAGUGUACCAGAGGUGGUUUUUUAUUCCUAGGUUUAUGUUUGUGGAUAUUGAUAUUGCUUCUGUAUAGAUGUAGUUCUUGAGCUUUGGCCUCUCUGUCCUAAGGCAUGGCUUCUGCAUAGAAUUACACCAGAACUCCCAUCUUUUAUCAUUGACUUCUGGUUCAGCCUCCCGUAGUAACUUACCUCCCCUUAUAAGCAGCGGGACAUUAUCAGGAUGGAUGGAGGGAGGUGAGCCUGGUAAUAUGAUCCCUGCUGCCAUUUCAGCGAUGCUGGCCUCAGCUGGGUGAUGUAAUCUUGUAGUUGUUCUGCAUCUUGUGACGUGUAAAAUCCAUAAGAGCCCUGGAAUCACUGUAGUCGUCUUAUCUUAGUUCCAAGGAUCUCAACUCCAGUGUUCAGCAAAUCUCAAGGUUGCAGAAAUUGUAAGAGUACAGUCUAACUAUGUGCCACC
rnacentral:lncRNA from 10 species